rnacentral:lncRNA from 1 species
UGCCUUACAAAACCAUAGGACAGUUUAAUCUCAACUGCCUAUCAAAACUGGAACAUGAAAUAUCAAUGCUACUCUAAUCAUUCAGCAUUUAUAACAUGAAAUGCUGAAUAUACGAACUAAGCCUAGGAGGAGCUCGAACAUUACAAAUAUAGGCUAUACUACGUAGGAGUUUAUCACAAUUACAAUAAGUAUUUUCAAAGAUUCUCGCAUUCCUUUCUAACCAUAAACUAUACAGCAUUUCUGUAAUUGUCA